rnacentral:rRNA from 1 species
GACAUCCAGAGAAUUUAGCAGAGAUGCUUUAGUGCCUUCGGGAACUCUGAGACAGGUGCUGCAUGGCUGUCGUCAGCUCGUGUUGUGAAAUGUUGGGUUAAGUCCGCAACGAGCGCAACCCUUAUCCUUUGUUGCCAGCACGUAAAGGUGGGAACUCAAAGGAGACUGCCGGUGAUAAACCGGAGGAAGGUGGGGAUGACGUCAAGUCAUCAUGGCCCUUACGAGUAGGGCUACACACGUGCUACAAUGGCGCAUACAAAGAGAAGCGACCUCGCGAGAGCAAGCGGACCUCAUAAAGUGCGUCGUAGUCCGGAUUGGAGUCUGCAACUCGACUCCAUGAAGUCGGAAUCGCUAGUAAUCGUAAAUCAGAAUGUUACGGUGAAUACGUUCCCGGGCCUUGUACACACCGCCCGUCACACCAUGGGAGUGGGUUGCAAAAGAAGUAGAUAGCUUAACCUUCGGGAGGGCGUUUACCACUUUGUGAUUCAUGACUGGGGUGAAGUCGUAACAAGGUAGGCGUAGUGCU